UACGAAGGGGGCUAGCGUUGUUCGGAAUCACUGGGCGUAAAGGGCGCGUAGGCGGCUUUAUAAGUCGGGGGUGAAAGCCUGUGGCUCAACCACAGAAUUGCCUUCGAUACUGUAGAGCUUGAGACCGGAAGAGGUAAGUGGAACUGCGAGUGUAGAGGUGAAAUUCGUAGAUAUUCGCAAGAACACCAGUGGCGAAGGCGGUCAACUGGCCCUAAACUGACGCUCAUGCACGAAAGCGUGGGGAUCAAACAGG
rnacentral:rRNA from 1 species